AUAAAUCUUAUAUAAACUAAAUUUUUUUUUUCAAAUAGACAAAAAUUUUACAAUUUUUUAUUUAAAAAACAACUUUAUGCAUUUUCUCUCCACUUCUCAAAAAAAAUUUAAAAAAAAAUACAAAUGCUCUGUAGUUGUAAUGGAGAGAAUCAGAAAAUGAAAACCCCGGAGUCGCUUUGAUGGCCUAAACCCUAAUCCCCGUGUCCAUUCAAAACAACCCCAAAAUGCAGAGAAUCAAUUCGUCUCCAAAUUCCCAAAACCUUGCAAUCAAAUCCCUUUUCUCAUUUUUCUCUUCGCUUUCGGAAACCCAAAAUUCAAACGCAUUCCUCCUCAAUUACCUAACAGAAACCCUAAACAUUCCCAAAUCACGAGCCCUUGUGAU
rnacentral:lncRNA from 1 species